UAUUGCUUUCUGUUGCCCUUUCUCUUCUUAAAGCAGGUCCAAAUAAUAUAGACAGGGAUGACCAACUGUUUUCUACCUCAGAUUAAAUUACUACAGUAAAAGCAUAGUAGUAGACUUAGUACUCUAUUGUGCCUGAAAAUUGUUGACUUGAUUUCAAAAUAUAGUGCUCCCUUUUGACAGGUUGGGCACUUAUGGUUUGGCUGAAUAUCAAAUAGAGGGGGAUGGAAACUGUCAGGUUUGUUUUUCAAGCACUGGUGUGCAUUUCAUUCCAUGCAUUGAAUAUAUUAUGUACUCUGGUUUGGUCAGACUCAGAUUUCUUGCCUACUGCAGCCAAUAGCGUUGCUGCUUUGGACCUAAGGUUCAGAUCAAGGGACAAGCAAGGAGGAAGCACAACUACAGCUGGACAUCAUUGCCAAGUUUUGAGAAGGAAAGGCAGGACUUAUAAGUGCCUACCGACCCCAUCAGUGGAAGUGUAUUGUCCAGCAUUCGAGAAGAGCUUGCCGCCAAGAAUUUGACAGGAAGGGAAAGUUUCAAUUAAUGUGCUAAUCCAGUUUUCUCAUACAAAACAGUUGCACUGAGUAUUGAACCUGCAACUAUGUAUACGUGCAUGUGAACAUGUAGUUUUAUCUGCUUGUGAACCUGUAUUGUUCUGAACUGGUUAACCAACUAUAUAUGUAGCAGCUGACCAUAUUUUUUUUAUUUUAUAAAUUCACAUUGGUGACGGGCAAAAUUGUAGCGCGUCACCAAUAAGAAAGUCAUUAGUGA